GUGGGGAAUCUUCCGCAAUGGACGAAAGUCUGACGGAGCAACGCCGCGUGAGUGAAGAAGGUUUUCGGAUCGUAAAGCUCUGUUGUUUGAGACGAAUGUGUAUAUUAGUAAUACGGAUAUACAAUGACGGUAUUAAACGAGAAAGCCACGGCUAACUACGUGCCAGCAGCCGCGGUAAUACGUAGGUGGCAAGCGUUGUCCGGAAUUAUUGGGCGUAAAGGGAGCGCAGGUGGGAAUGUAAGUCGGUCUUAAAAGUGUGGGGCUCAACCCCGGGAGGGGAUCGAAACUACAUUUCUUGAGUGCAGGAGAGGAAAGUGGAAUUCCUAGUGUAGCGGUGAAAUGCGUAGAUAUUAGGAGGAACACCAGUGGCGAAGGCGACUUUCUGGACUGUAACUGACACUGAGGCUCGAAAGCCAGGGGAGCGAACGGGAUUAGAAACCCCGGUAGUCC
rnacentral:rRNA from 1 species